UACGGAGGGUGCGAGCGUUGUUCGGAAUCACUGGGCGUAAAGGGCGUGUAGGCGGUCCGUUAAGUCUGAUGUGAAAGCCCGGGGCUCACCCCCGGAAGGGCAUUGGAAACUGGCGGACUCGAGUCCCGGAGAGGAGAGUGGAAUUCCACGUGUAGCAGUGAAAUGCGUAGAGAUGUGGAGGAACACCGAUGGCGAAGGCAGCCCCCUGGGUUAACACUGACGCUCAGGCACGAAAGCGUGGGGAGCAAACAGG
rnacentral:rRNA from 1 species